GCCUCUUACUAUUUCGUCACUGCAUCUGUCACAACUCACAAGUUCAUGAAACUGCGACAAUGUUCUGGGUGUAUUUAGGUCCCCGCCCGCCCCUCUGUGCAAGCCCAGGAACUCCAGGACCCCGUCUAUCCCCUUCCCUGCUGAAGACCCCAAGCCCAGUAAAGUUCUCUUAAAUGAAUGCUGCGUACAAGCAAAAACAUUACUUUUAAUAUUCCUUGUUGCUAAGCAAACUUUAUGUACCUUCAUUUUGUGAAAAAAAAAAUAACCCGAGCCAUUCGUGGUCUCUGGCUAAAGGAGGGGUGACUCCGGGGCCUCAUCUACCCCAGGGACACGCUUAGUGAUCCAAGGUGCCAGCGGAAGGCAGACAGCACAGGGAAGUCACCGCCCUCUCCCCCUUCGAGCAGACAAGACAGCACAGGUGGCAAACUGAUGACCUUAACCUGGAUUAGCUGGAUCCACAAGAGUGAAAAUUUUAAGGAAAUGGAAGGCGAGACAUCCUGUUUGAGGCACCUGUGGGUCCUUUAAUCCUCUUUAGAAAAGCACAGGCACAUCAUCAUGCACGCAAAGUGUUCCCACACACACAGAUCUGGUCUCUUUACACACCCUGUCUGAACAGGGAGGCCCUGCAGGGAGGGACUCUGCCCAGUUUACAGGCUGGGGAAGGUAAGCGGAGCCCAGAGGGACAACUGGGCCAGAGCACCUGCUGUGGGAGCCGCAGCCCUGAUCUACGGAGCCCGGAACAGGUUGAAGGAAGAGGAGGGACAGACCAGAAAGGACACCUUUCUCAUGAUUACUUGUGCUUUGUGUUGUGACAACAGUCCAGGCCUUCGGGAAAGGCAUGUUUCCCCUGCUAAGUUAUUGUUCUUCCAAAGUCAAGCCUCCACCAGAGAAGAAAAGAAUGUGCAAAUGUCAGAAGCAGGAAAAAACUGCCAGAAUACAGGCAAUCCUAAAAAUCAAACAGUGCCUUCAAUGGAAAGGCAGGCAAUAAAUACAUGAAUGAAUGAAUGGUCUCAAGAA